UCUUAUGGAUAAGCAAAGAAAGUAGUUUCUUGAGAUACAAUCUACGCCUGGUGAAGAUGUUGUGAA
rnacentral:pre_miRNA from 1 species